ACGGGAGGCAGCAGUGGGGAAUAUUGGACAAUGGGGGAAACCCUGAUCCAGCGACGCCGCGUGAGUGAAGAAGUAUUUCGGUAUGUAAAGCUCUAUCAGCAAGGAAGAAAAUGACGGUACUUGACUAAGAAGCUCCGGCUAAAUACGUGCCAGCAGCCGCGGUAAUACGUAUGGAGCAAGCGUUAUCCGGAUUUACUGGGUGUAAAGGGAGCGUAGACGGCAAAGCAAGUCUGAAGUGAAAUCCCGGGGCUCAACCCCGGAACUGCUUUGGAAACUGUCGAACUAGAGUGUCGGAGAGGUAAGUGGAAUUUCUAGUGUAGCGGUGAAAUGCGUAGAUAUUAGGAGGAACACCAGUGGCGAAGGCGGCUUACUGGACGAUUACUGACGCUGAGGCUCGAAAGCGUGGGGAGCAAACAGGAUUAGAUACCCUGGUA
rnacentral:rRNA from 1 species